rnacentral:rRNA from 1 species
GACGAACGCUGGCGGCGUGCUUAACACAUGCAAGUCGAACGGAAAGGCCCUGCUUUUGUGGGGUGCUCGAGUGGCGAACGGGUGAGUAACACGUGAGUAACCUGCCCUCGACUUUGGGAUAACUUCAGGAAACUGGGGCUAAUACCGGAUAGGAGCUCCUGCUGCAUGGUGGGGGUUGGAAAGUUUCGGCGGUUGGGGAUGGACUCGCGGCUUAUCCGCUUGUUGGUGGGGUAGUGGCUUACCAAGGCUUUGACGGGUAGCCGGCCUGAGAGGGUGACCGGCCACAUUGGGACUGAGAGACGGCCCAGACUCCUACGGGAGGCAGCAGUGGGAAAUAUUGCACAAUGGGCGGAAGCCUGAUGCAGCAACGCCGCGUGCGGGAUGACGGCCUUCGGGUUGUAAACCGCUUUCGCCUGUGACGAAGCGUGAGUGACGGUAAUGGGUAAAGAAGCACCGGCUAACUACGUG